UUCAUUGCCGCUGCAGCAUCAUCAAGAUUCACUAAUCAAAGAGCCACAUGAACCCUAGAAAAAGUUUGGUGAAUCUUGAUGGUGACACAUCAGCAAUAAU
rnacentral:miRNA from 1 species